rnacentral:tRNA from 1 species
GGUCUUGAAGCCGGUUGCCCCUUUUGCCUUUUGGCUCGACAACGGAAGCGGGGGCGCGGGUUCGAUUCCCGCCAAGACCA